UCCGCAAAAAUCAACUUCUAAAAUUCCAAUUCGAUCUUGGGCUUUCACCUAGCAUGGAUCUGAGGGUUCCGUUCGUGAUUGUCCCACUCUGUGAUUACAGACAAAACUGGUAGAUUUUAAACUACAUUCUGCAUGUAGCAAAAGACGAGAUAGAGCUUUUUUAGUGAUAGAACCAAACAAAUAUUCAUGUUUUUUUCUUUUAUCAGACUGGUUAGCCUGUGGUUGUGAAUCAAGAUGGCGGCUAUGACGUCACAUCCUCCACAAAGGGUCCCAGCAGUACUGCGCCAGCUGGUUCUCACCUCUUUCCCAGAUGCCUCAGCAGCAGCGGCAUUGGCCUUCCUUUCUUCUUCCUCCUGGUCAAGCUCUCUGAUGCUAUCUUCUAGAGCAUUAGGCCAGAAGUCUCCAUCAAAGUAGGGAAGCUCACUUGCACAUGUAAGACCAUCAUCACUUGCUUGCUUUAGGAUGUCCUAUCAAUGCACAAACAAUAUUCAAUUAACCACUAACAUUUGAAGACAAGGUAACACAAUUACAGUUGGGAGAUUAUAAAAAGGUAAGGUGAUCAGGAACAGAUUGAAGGCUUUAAAAUAUGAAGACAUAACAAUACACCCGAUAGUAUUGAUUUGCUUUUUUACUUCGAAAAAGGAACUAAAACCCAAUUAUAUUCAUUAUACCUAUCUUUUUAAGAGAUAAAUAUUCGUUUUAAUACAUAAUUCUAACCUUGUAUUCAAUGACCACUCGAUCCAUGAUAGCUUUGUCCAACAUCUUCUUAUACCAUUCAACAAGUCGUUUAUGCUUAGGAAUCUUCUGCUCAGUAGGAUGGCAAUGGAAUAUGUAGUCAUCUCCUUCGCUGGGAGGACAGGCCCAGAUGUGAGCCAUUUGAUAACUAAAAGACACAGAAAAGAAAAAUAGCAUGCAUUAGAGGCACGAAAACUAGAGAAUUUUGAAGGAAAGCACUGUUAUGGUGGGUGCAAGAAUUAAAGAGAGGACCAGAACUGGAAGAGGGAGUGGUGGAUCAAGGAAUUUAAAAGGGGGGUUCCAAAAUGGCUGCCAUCUAGAAAAAGCAGGUAACAUUGGCUUAACAAAGGGGGUUCCAAUUUUAUAUUACUGAGCAUAAAAACAUGAUUGGCUUUGUAAGAUCUAACAAAAUGGGGGUUCCAUGGCAACCACGAAACAACCCCUGGAUCUGCUACUGAGUUUAAACCUUCUGUGUUUUACUAAAUAACACAUAAAAUCAUGAUAUUUUAAUACCUUGUCUUUAUUCCAGGCUUUAGUUCUCCAACCUUGUCAACACUUGAAACAACACGUAUCGUAACUUCAGCAUUGCAGUUCUGUUUUCGUAGGAAACCUGUAACUCUUCUUUCAAUCAAAUCUCCAAGUUUUGUUUGUGGUAGCCCUUCAUUGUUGAAAACAGAUACAAAAUUGGGAUUAAAAUCACAAAGGUGAUGAUUAAACUAAAGUAAGAAAAUAAAAGCAACUUACUCUUU